rnacentral:rRNA from 1 species
GAUGAACGCUGGCGGCGUGCCUAAUACAUGCAAGUCGAGCGAACAGACGAGGAGCUUGCUCCUCUGACGUUAGCGGCGGACGGGUGAGUAACACGUGGAUAACCUACCUAUAAGACUGGGAUAACUUCGGGAAACCGGAGCUAAUACCGGAUAAUAUAUUGAACCGCAUGGUUCAAUAGUGAAAGACGGUUUUGCUGUCACUUAUAGAUGGAUCCGCGCCGCAUUAGCUAGUUGGUAAGGUAACGGCUUACCAAGGCAACGAUGCGUAGCCGACCUGAGAGGGCGAUCAGCCACACUGGAACUGAGACACGGCCCAGACUCCUACGGGAGGCAGCAGUAGGGAAUCUUCCGCAAUGGGCGAAAGCCUGACGGAGCAACGCCGCGUGAGUGAUGAAGGUCUUCGGAUCGUAAAACGCUGUUAUUAGGGAAGAACAAAUGUGUAAGUAACUAUGCACGUCUUGACGGUACCUGAUCAGAAAGCAACGGCUAACUACGUG